AUCCAGGUGACGAGUCCCAAAUAGGACGAAAUGCGCGUCCUGGAU
rfam:Schistosoma mansoni strain Puerto Rico chromosome 1, complete genome